rnacentral:rRNA from 1 species
UACGUAGGGCGCAAGCGUUGUCCGGAAUUAUUGGGCGUAAAGAGCUCGUAGGCGGCCUGUCGCGUCUGCUGUGAAAUCCCGGGGCUUAACCCCGGGCGUGCAGUGGAUACGGGCUGGCUGGAGGCAGGCAGGGGAGAACGGAAUUCCCGGUGUAGCGGUGAAAUGCGCAGAUAUCGGGAGGAACACCGGUGGCGAAGGCGGUUCUCUGGGCCCGUACUGACGCUGAGGAGCGAAAGCGUGGGGAGCGAACAGG